rnacentral:lncRNA from 1 species
UUUUGUUCCUCAUUGCAAAGUUAGAGUUGAAGUGGAAUAAAUGAGAGCAUCACUAAAUGACACAAGAUAAAGUAACAAAACAUACGUCUUUCUUGUUUCAUAGAGUAUUCGUGGAAUUGAAAAACUAAACCGAAAGUUUGGAUUCUACCCUCCCUCCCCAAUAUAAAAUAUUGAAGUUUGUAGCUCUGCAAGAUGGUGACCAUCAAUAGACAGUGCUCUGUAAGUACCUUGCUCUUGUGCACUCCUCCUUCACAAGUAACAUUCUCCUGCACGCUCAGCUUCAGAAGAAGACAUAAUCAGAAAUGUGACAGUAUUUAAAGAGGAUAUGGAGAGCAGUUGGGGGGAGACCGUUACUGAAGUACGGAGAGCCAGACCCUCUGUUUUUGGUGCAUUCAACAUAAUGAUAGAGGUAAUGUCUUGCCCUCCUGUCCUUUAUUAGAUCCCUAACUAAGGUCAAAACCGAAAUCUACUGAGAUACAUCGAAUGUCUUAAAGUACA